AUUGAACGCUGGCGGCAGGCCUAACACAUGCAAGUCGAACGGUAACAGGAAGAAGCUUGCUUCUUUGCUGACGAGUGGCGGACGGGUGAGUAAUGUCUGGGAAACUGCCUGAUGGAGGGGGAUAACUACUGGAAACGGUAGCUAAUACCGCAUAACGUCGCAAGACCAAAGAGGGGGACCUUCGGGCCUCUUGCCAUCGGAUGUGCCCAGAUGGGAUUAGCUAGUAGGUGGGGUAACGGCUCACCUAGGCGACGAUCCCUAGCUGGUCUGAGAGGAUGACCGGCCACACUGGAACUGAGACACGGUCCAGACUCCUACGGGAGGCAGCAGUGGGGAAUAUUGCACAAUGGGCGCAAGCCUGAUGCAGCCAUGCCGCGUGUAUGAAGAAGGCCUUCGGGUGGUAAAGUACUUUCAGCGGGGAGGAAGGGAGUAAAGUUAAUACCUUUGCUCAUUGACGUUACCCGCAGAAGAAGCACCGGCUAACUCCGUG
rnacentral:rRNA from 1 species